AAAGCUCUCUUCAUGGUGCACCAACCCCAUUCGUAAUUCCAUCAAUUACUCGUCGAUCAAGAAAAUGAGUUAAUUGGGCUAAUCCUCUUACUGCCCCAGUUAAGAAUGUUGUAUAAAAAAACAUCUAUAUAAGCACAAUUAUAUGACCAAUUAAAUAGACCAUUUAGAAUUUUGUCCCAAAGACUUCUCUUAGGACCUGUUUUAACAAAUAAAUUGGUUAAGUCGAAAUUUUUGAAAGAGGAAUAAAUGGGUUUAUAUAAAAAGGACGCUAUAAAUAUUCUGAAAUAAGCUAUACUGACUGAAAAAAUUGCAUCUUUCCAAAAUUCAUACCAAUCGAUCGAAUCAUUCAACUUUUGAUGUAAAAGGUUUAUAGACAGAGUUAACCAUUUGGUUAAUAUAUCCAAUUCUUGAUUGAAACGAACUCCUAUAGAUCCAACAAACAAAGUAAAGAUGCCCAAUACAAAUAAAGGAAAUAACAUAGUAUUGUCGGAUUCAUAAGGAUAGGAAUAAUCAUUUUUAUUCUCAAAAUGAACAACAGUAAUAAAAGGCCCUACCCUGUUUCUUACAUUUUUAUCACUUCGAUAUGUCUUUUUUGAAAAAAAAAAAAAAAAGAACUUUUACUAUUAUUCAUUUUUAAUAAACGAAAAUUUUUGUUAAUUCUUUUAGAACCCCCUUUUCCCUAUUUUGGAAGAAUAAUC
rnacentral:lncRNA from 1 species